UACGUAGGUGGCAAGCGUUGUCCGGAAUUAUUGGGCGUAAAGCGCGCGCAGGUGGUUUCUUAAGUCUGAUGUGAAAGCCCACGGCUCAACCGUGGAGGGUCAUUGGAAACUGGGGAACUUGAGUGCAGGAGGGAAGAGUGGAAUUCCACGUGUAGCGGUGAAAUGCGUAGAGAUGUGGAGGAACACCAGUGGCGAAGGCGACUCUUUGGCCUGUAACUGACACUGAGGCGCGAAAGCGUGGGGAGCAAACAGG
rnacentral:rRNA from 1 species